GACGAACGCUGGCGGCGUGCCUAAUACAUGCAAGUAGAACGCACAGUUUAUACCGUAGCUUGCUACACCAUAGACUGUGAGUUGCGAACGGGUGAGUAACGCGUAGGUAACCUGCCUGGUAGCGGGGGAUAACUAUUGGAAACGAUAGCUAAUACCGCAUAAUAUUAAUUAUUGCAUGAUAAUUAAUUGAAAGGUGCAAUUGCACCACUACCAGAUGGACCUGCGUUGUAUUAGCUAGUAGGUGAGGUAACGGCUCACCUAGGCGACGAUACAUAGCCGACCUGAGAGGGUGAUCGGCCACACUGGGACUGAGACACGGCCCAGACUCCUACGGGAGGCAGCAGUAGGGAAUCUUCGGCAAUGGACGAAAGUCUGACCGAGCAACGCCGCGUGAGUGAAGAAGGUGUUCGGAUCGUAAAGCUCUGUUGUAAGAGAAGAACGGGUGUGAGAGUGGAAAGUUCACACUGUGACGGUAUCUUACCAGAAAGGGACGGCUAACUACGU
rnacentral:rRNA from 1 species